rnacentral:rRNA from 1 species
AGAGUUUGAUUCUGGCUCAGGAUGAACGCUAGCGGCAGGCCUAAUACAUGCAAGUCGAACGGGAUUGCCACCUUCGGGUGGCAUGAGAGUGGCGCACGGGUGCGCAACGCGUAUGCAACCAACCCCCGACGGGCGGAUAGCCGGUGGAAACGCCGGAUAAUACGCCAUGGUUCCCCUGUAGGGCAUCCUAUUGGGGAUAAAGCCGAGAGGCGGUCGGGGACGGGCAUGCGUCCCAUUAGGUAGUCGGCGGGGUGACGGCCCACCGAGCCCGUGAUGGGUAGGGGAUCUGAGAGGACGGUCCCCCACACUGGUACUGAGACACGGACCAGACUCCUGCGGGAGGCAGCAGUAAGGGAUAUUGGUCAAUGGUCGGAAGACUGAACCAGCCAUGCCCGCGUGAGGGAAUGAGGCCCUACGGGUCGUGAACCUCUUUUAUUCGGGGACAAGGACUUCCACGUGAUGGGAGUUGGAGGGUACCGAAGGAAUAAGCGUCGGCUAACUCCGUGCCAGCAGCCGC